rnacentral:rRNA from 1 species
UACGUAGGGUGCAAGCGUUAAUCGGAAUUACUGGGCGUAAAGCGUGCGCAGGCGGUUAUGCAAGACAGAUGUGAAAUCCCCGGGCUUAACCUGGGAACUGCAUUUGUGACUGCAUAGCUGGAGUGCGGCAGAGGGGGAUGGAAUUCCGCGUGUAGCAGUGAAAUGCGUAGAUAUGCGGAGGAACACCGAUGACGAAGGCAAUCCCCUGGGCCUGCACUGACGCUCAUGCACGAAAGCGUGGGGAGCAAACAGG